rnacentral:antisense_RNA from 1 species
CUUCAGGGAGCCCAGCCACAACGGGUGGUCCUCAGGGCGGUCCUGGCCGUAGGUGGCGAGCAGUGCCUGUGCCUC